rnacentral:rRNA from 1 species
UACGGAGGGUGCGAACGUUAAUCGGAAUUACUGGGCGUAAAGCGCACGUAGGCGGUUCGCUAAGUGGGAUGUGAAAUCCCCGGGCUUAACCUGGGAACUGCACUUGUGACUGCACAGCUGGAGUACGGCAGAGGGGGAUGGAAUUCCGCGUGUAGCAGUGAAAUGCGUAGAUAUGCGGAGGAACACCGAUGGCGAAGGCAGUCCCCUGGGCCUGUACUGACGCUCAUGCACGAAAGCGUGGGGAGCAAACGGG